ACCCACCGCGACCCCA
rnacentral:rRNA from 1 species